ACCCGCCUGCUCGCUCUCCUUGGAAGAGGCCCUGCCAAGGUGAUCCAGUGGAAGCCACUGGGGGAAGGCAAGGAAGAGAGGCUGCUUUUAUGUCUGCCUUUCUGCUAGAAGAGACACAAAGCACAGCCUGAAUGCACACAUGCCACUAGCAGCCUGCCAUUCAGAUACUGAGCUGAAACUGAGCGAAUCCUGGACACUGACAUGCUUGGGUACCUACCAUCCUCCUGCCCCAUGUGGAGACUACGUCCACCUGGCUCAGAUGUCCCAGGUGAAAUCAAGAGAUCUAGGAAGGACUUAAACAGUCACAUAUAAAGUCUGUCUUUCAAUGCUGCAACCAGAAUCUCUUCAAACAAGACAAUCAAGGAGAGAUCUUAAGUAUGAUACAGAAGCUCAAAAUAUUACAAGAGCAAGAAGCCAUGAACAGCCUCUUCACGUGAAGUGAAAACGAGAGGCCCAGAAAGCUGAAGAAAUUUCCCUACAGCUGGA